rnacentral:rRNA from 1 species
UACAGAGGUCCCAAGCGUUGUUCGGAUUCACUGGGCGUGAAGGGUGCGUAGGUGGUCGGGUAAGUCUGAUGUGAAAUCUCCGAGCUUAACUCGGAAAUGGCAUUGGAUACUAUCCGGCUAGAGGAUUUGAGGGGGGACUGGAAUACUUGGUGUAGCAGUGAAAUGCGUAGAUAUCAAGUGGAACACCAGUGGCGAAGGCGAGUCCCUGGAAAAUUCCUGACACUGAGGCACGAAAGCGUGGGGAGCGAUCCGG